AUUGAACGCUGGCGGCAGGCCUAACACAUGCAAGUCGAACGAGUGGCGGACGGGUGAGUACUGUCUGUGAAACUGCCUGAUGGAGGGGGAUACCUACUGGAAACGGUAGCUCAUACCGCAUACCAUCAGCCCUGCCCAGAUGGGAUUAGCUUGUGGGUGGGGUAACGGCUCACCUGGGCGACGAUCCCUAGCUGGUCUGAGAGGAUGACCAGCCACACUGGAACUGAGACACGGUCCAGACUCCUACGGGAGGCAGCAGUGGGGAAUAUUGCACAAUGGGCGCAAGCCUGAUGCAGCCAUGCCGCGUGUAUGAAGAAGGCCUUCGGGUUGUAAAGUACUUUCAGCGGGGAGGCGUUACCCGCAGAAGAAGCACCGGCUAACUCCGUGCCAGCAGCCGCGGUAAUUC
rnacentral:rRNA from 1 species